rnacentral:rRNA from 1 species
CCUACGGGAGGCAGCAGUGGGGAAUAUUGCGCAAUGGGCGAAAGCCUGACGCAGCGACGCCGCGUGAGGGAUGAAGGUCUUCGGAUCGUAAACCUCUGUCAGCAGGGAAGAACGGUCACUGUGCUAAUCAGCAGUGAAUUGACGGUACCUGCAAAGGAAGCACCGGCUAACUCCGUGCCAGCAGCCGCGGUAAUACGGAGGGUGCGAGCGUUAAUCGGAAUUACUGGGCGUAAAGCGCUCGUAGGCGGUAUGUCAAGUCAAGGGUGAAAUCCCCGCGCUCAACGUGGGAACUGCCGUUGAAACGGGCAAACUGGAGUGUGUGAGAGGAUAGUGGAAUUCCAGGUGUAGGAGUGAAAGCCGUAGAGAUCUGGAGGAACAUCAGUGGCGAAGGCGACUAUCUGGCACAUAACUGACGCUGAGGAGCGAAAGCGUGGGUAGCAAACAGGAUUAGAUACCCUUGUAGUC